GAUGAACGCUAGCGGCAGGCCUAAUACAUGCAAGUCGAACGAUAGAAGAGAGCUUGCUCUCUUUGAAAGUGGCGCACGGGUGCGUAACGCGUAUGCAACCUACCUUAAUCAGGGGGAUAGCCCGAAGAAAUUCGGAUUAACACCGCAUAAAACCACAGUACAGCAUUGUACAAUGAUCAAAUAUUUAUAGGAUUAAGAUGGGCAUGCGUGACAUUAGCUAGUUGGCGGGGUAACGGCCCACCAAGGCGACGAUGUCUAGGGGAUCUGAGAGGAUGACCCCCCACACUGGUACUGAGACACGGCCCAGACUCCUACGGGAGGCAGCAGUAAGGAAUAUUGGUCAAUGGAGGGAACUCUGAACCAGCCAUGCCGCGUGCAGGAAGACAGCCCUCUGGGUCGUAAACUGCUUUUAUUCGGGAAUAAACCUACUUACGUGUAAGUAGCUGAAUAUACCGAAGGAAUAAGGAUCGGCUAACUCCGUGCCAGCCGCCGCCGUAA
rnacentral:rRNA from 1 species